rnacentral:rRNA from 1 species
AUGGGUCAGCUGAUGCUCAAUCGGGUGAUAUCGAUGCAGCGGGAAAGUCGUCGCCUGCAAAUACAACCCCAUAAUGGACCAGCUGAUUCAAUGGUUGACAGAAAGGACUCAACCUGCAAACAAGACCAUUGUUCCCAAGGUGGUGAAAUACAAUACCCUGGGCCACAUCUUCCAGAGGAUAUUUGGUGUCAUAUAUAUUCCCUACUGCCAAUGCGAGAUGCUGCUCGAGCUGCUUGUGUGUCUCAUGCAUUUAAACGUUCUUGGAGAUGCUAUCCGAACCUUGCUUUCAAUAUGAUAACAUUGGGCAUUGAUAUAGAAUCAUGUGGAGAGGACGGAAUAGCAAGAAAUUUUACCAACAAAGUUGACCACAUUUUGAAAAACCGCCCAUGCAUUGCCACCAAGACGCUCGAGAUUGUUUUCCGUUACUACAAUGCCAAAGUCUGUAACAUUGAUAGCUGGUUUCAGGCUGCUGUUACACCGGGGAUUGAAGAACUCACUAUAGAACUAUCUUCAAAGUCAGGAAGAUAUUACAACUUUCCGUGGUCACUUUUAGCCAAUGAGAGUGGAAACUCGAUUCGGUAUCUAAAUCUUGCCCGUUGUGCUUUCUCUCCGACUGACGAGUUGUGCUUUAAAAGCUUGUCAAGACUCGAGCUAAGCGAUGUUGCUAUUACGGGGGACCAGUUGGGAUCCAUUCUUCACAAUUCUUUUGCUUUGCAACGGAUGCAACUAAAGUUUUGCAAUAAGAUAAUUUGCUUGAAGAUACCUUUUCAUCUACAACAGCUCAGAUAUCUGGACGUGUUUGAUGGCGGCAGCUCGCUGCGGGUUAUAGAGGUAGAAGCUCCAAACCUCUCUAAUUUCCAGUUUAUGGGUCAUCGCAAAGUACACCUAUCGUUUGGAGUAGGAUUGCAAUUCAAGAAGUUUGACCUGUACUUUCCUGGUGCUAUCAGCUAUGUUUGUGCUGAUUUUCUGUCCAGCUUGCGAUAUGUUGAAGAUCUUUCCCUAGGUUCACGUUGUGAGAUGAUUGAUACACCAGUUCUACAUAGCAAAUUCCUGCAUCUCAAGCACUUGAAUGUUGAUCUUCAAGCAAUGACAUUUUCCCCGACCUACGACUAUUGUUCUUUGAUAUCACUUUUUGAUGCUUCUCCUUUCUUGGAGACCCUUGUCAUGAAUGUGUUGCAGCAAAAGAUGUUGCACGAGUCAAUCGUGGGAGAUGCAUCACAUUUGAGGCAGAUGCCAGGACACCACCAUGAUAGCCUCAAGACAGUGAAGAUCAUUGGUUUCUCCUCUGCGAAGAGCUUAGUAGAGCUAACAUGCCAUAUCAUUGAGAAUACGAGCUCACUUGAGAGCCUUACAUUGAACACCACAACAGGACAUCCUUUCGACAGCUGUUUAACCAACAAUACUGGAAAGUGCAACCUGUUGGGCGUGGAUUUUAUGGUGGAAGUUGGUAGAGGGCUCUUGGCUAUCAGGACAUAUGUUGAGCCAAAAGUUCCCUCCGGAGUUGAGCUAAAUGUUGUGGAGCCUUGCCGCCGAUGCCAUGAUCAACCACCGCCGAUGCCAUGA